rnacentral:rRNA from 1 species
CAGUCGCCACGGGAAAACGUAGGGUGCAAGCGUUAAUCGGAAUUACUGGGCGUAAAGCGUGCGUAGGUGGUGGUUUAAGUCCGUUGUGAAAGCCCUGGGCUCAACCUGGGAAUUGCAGUGGAUACUGGGUCACUAGAGUGUGGUAGAGGAUAGUGGAAUUUCCGGUGUAGCAGUGAAAUGCGUAGAUAUGCGGAGGAACACCGAUGGCGAAGGCAGCCCCCUGGGCCAACACUGACGCUCAUGCACGAAAGCGUGGGGAGCAAACAGGAUUAGAUACCCGCGUAGUCCCUGUCUCUUAUAC